CCGGAGAAUGUUAUCACGGGAGACACACGGCGGGUGCUAACGUCCGUCGUGAAGAGGGAAACAACCCAGACCGCCAGCUAAGGUCCCAAAGUCAUGGUUAAGUGGGAAACGAUGUGGGAAGGCCCAGACAGCCAGGAUGUUGGCUUAGAAGCAGCCAUCAUUUAAAGAAAGCGUAAUAGCUCACUGGUCGAGUCGGCCUGCGCGGAAGAUGUAACGGGGCUAAACCAUGCACCGAAGCUGCGGCAGCGAACGUAUCACCCAAGACAACUUUACGGAGUUGACGAUUGACGGAGCGAAGCGACGUCAAAGCGUUCAUUAAAGUCGAGUUGGCUUAGGGAUACGUUCGUUGGGUAGGGGAGCGUUCUGUAAGCCUGUGAAGGUGUGUCGUGAGGCAUGCUGGAGGUAUCAGAAGUGCGAAUGCUGACAUAAGUAACGAUAAAGCGGGUGAAAAGCCCGCUCGCCGGAAGACCAAGGGUUCCUGUCCAACGUUAAUCGGGGCAGGGUGAGUCGACCCCUAAGGCGAGGCCGAAAGGCGUAGUCGAUGGGAAACGGGUUAAUAUUCCCGUACUUGGUGUUACUGCGAAGGGGGGACGGAGAAGGCUAUGUUGGCCGGGCGACGGUUGUCCCGGUUUAAGCGUGUAGGUGUGUGUUCCAGGUAAAUCCGGUUCACUUUAACACUGAGGCGUGAUGACGAGGCACUACGGUGCUGAAGCAACAAAUGCCCUGCUUCCAGGAAAAGCCUCUAAGCAUCAGGUAACAUCAAAUCGUACCCCAAACCGACACAGGUGGUCAGGUAGAGAAUACCAAGGCGCUUGAGAGAACUCGGGUGAAGGAACUAGGCAAAAUGGUGCCGUAACUUCGGGAGAAGGCACGCUGACACGUAGGUGAAGUGAUUUACUCACGGAGCUGAAGUCAGUCGAAGAUACCAGCUGGCUGCAACUGUUUAUUAAAAACACAGCACUGUGCAAACACGAAAGUGGACGUAUACGGUGUGACGCCUGCCCGGUGCCGGAAGGUUAAUUGAUGGGGUCAGCGCAAGCGAAGCUCCUGAUCGAAGCCCCGGUAAACGGCGGCCGUAACUAUAACGGUCCUAAGGUAGCGAAAUUCCUUGUCGGGUAAGUUCCGACCUGCACGAAUGGCGUAAUGAUGGCCAGGCUGUCUCCACCCGAGACUCAGUGAAAUUGAACUCGCUGUGAAGAUGCAGUGUACCCGCGGCAAGACGGAAAGACCCCGUGAACCUUUACUAUAGCUUGACACUGAACAUUGAGCCUUGAUGUGU
rnacentral:rRNA from 1 species